rnacentral:snoRNA from 1 species
CCUCUGCCUAUGAUGGCAUUAAAUAUACUUUGAGUAUUUUUACUAUGAAACAAAUUUUAAUCUGAGGCUU